UACGAAGGGGGCUAGCGUUGCUCGGAAUUAUUGGGCGUAAAGAGCUUGUAGGCGGUUUGUCGCGUCUGCUGUGAAAAUCCGGGGCUCAACCCCGGACUUGCAGUGGGUACGGGCAGACUAGAGUGUGGUAGGGGAGACUGGAAUUCCUGGUGUAGCGGUGAAAUGCGCAGAUAUCAGGAGGAACACCGGUGGCGAAGGCGGUGGUCUGGGCCGGCACUGACGCUGAGGAGCGAAAGCGUGGGGAGCGAACAGG
rnacentral:rRNA from 1 species